rnacentral:lncRNA from 1 species
CACCAACUGUAUAUACCUGUACAUAUCUGAGGCAGGAAUAAAGUGCCACAUGCAGCAUCUCCAGCCCUCGCCUGGUUCCUGGCAGCAGUGAUCCCAUCCUCGGCUGGGCAGUUGGGCCCCAUCACCAGGGACAUAGUGGCAAAUGAGGCAGCCACAGAAGAGAGGGGCAGCACCUGUGUGUGACCUUGAUCUUGGUCCCCCCUUCAUACCCUGCACCUGGGGGAAGAGGGCAGUUUGUGCCAAGCCACAAAGCUACAGGGCAGAAGAGCAUCCUUUUGGGGGUAAGCCCUGUGUUCCUUUUCUUACUUUGGGAGUGGGUUUUUUUUUCUGCAGUCUACAGCCAUUUCUUAGGACAGAUGGGGCUAAGUGGAUCUGUGGGGAUGGGCUAAGAUCAAAGACUCAGGUGAUGCUGAGCGUACAAGGGAAGCAUAAUGAAGGGAACAUCCGAAGCUGUGCUGUGCCAAGCUUGGGGUCCUUUCUGACUCUUUGAAGAUGCCUCUUGUGAUGCACCCCUGUUGUGACUCCUGAAUGUCCUCCUGGGGCUGCGAGAUGCUAUUUGCCAAAAAGGAAUGCAGAAAACCCAGCCUACCCCCCUGAAAACGAGGCAUGGAGACAAAACGCAGUUGGAACCUCGGGGCUGAGGUUUCCAUGGUGGCCCCACUCUGCUGCUCUUCCCAUUGGCCAGGCGUCCUGCUCCAGCUUUAGCAACAGAGGCUCAGAUACCCAUCUCCUUCCUGAUUGGCCAGGCUGUGCUGCAGCGCCAUGGCAACAGGGGCAGAGGGACCAGUCUCUGCAGAACUUGAGUCACCAUCUACCUGGGGUGGAGCUGAGAUCCAGAGGGAUGCAGGGGAUGCAAAGGGAACAGGUAGCCCCCACCUCAGCUCACAGUCAGGUGGGGGACACUCCUCCAUGGGAUGCCCAGGGGUUUGAGAGGCUGGUAGGCUUCAUCUCUUUAUCUCAUCUGUCUUGUAUCUGACAGCAUCUUCCUGGCCCUCUUUUGCCCCAGGGCUCCUGGCUCCUGCAGAAGAAAAACCAAGCCUCUUGCAGUGCCAGAGGUUAACUCGUUUGCCCGGAAUUAUGCACACUGCAAUCUAGAAUUUGAACUCGUAUUAUAUUGCUUAACUUAAAAGCUGUAGAAGGUUUUUGCUAGAGAAUCCAGGUUUUUUUUUUUUUAAAUAGACUUUAUUUUUUAGAACCGUUUUGGGUUCACAGCAUAAUUGAACAGCAGGGACAGAGAUUUCCCAUACCCCUUUCAGUUUUAAUAGUUUUAUUCAUCAGACAGCUAAUGCUUUCCAAAGCAUUCUUAUAUCUGAAACAUUAUCUGAUCUUCCAACUACCCUAUGAGUUGGUAAUUCAGGGAUGAAUGACCCAUUUCAUAGAUGAGGACACCAGAGAGAGCCCAGAGAGGGCAAGUGAUUUAUUCCACAUCACACAACUUAUUAGUGCCAGAGCUGGGCCUCCAACCCUCACCUCCUGAAUCCUUACCAGGG